UUUGCUGCAUGAUGCUGAUUGACCUCAAACCGGCGGCAUUGGAAAGCUAACUCAAAGCUCUAUCUUCUUCUAAAAUAUUGUCUCAAUCUUACGGUGGGAAGGUCUCCAUCCAUAGCUAAACAUCUAACGCGUAUGUAGCUCUGCACUCAAAAGGUUCCAAAAGACACCAAAAUCACCACUUUCUUAGACACCAAAGUCACCACUUUCUUAGACACCAAAGUCACCACUUUUUUCCAAAUCGUCUUUGAACCUGUAAACAUUCUAAAUAGACUCUAUAUCGUAGUAAUUAGUUAUUAAAACACUUACCAUGGCUAAAAGUGGAUAAAAUCCAUGGCCAGUAAACUAGAGUCCAGUUUAAUCGAUUUAAUAUUAGUAUGACUAGCACUAACCGGGAUGUUGAUGGUUUACAACAAACUAUACUGUAUCUCUUGUAAGCGCCAAGAUGGAAACUUGACAGAAUUUGAGAGACAAGUGUUGAGUUGUUUAUUCUUAGGACCUACUCUUACAAAUUCAAUGAGAUCAACUUCGUCUUUCCACUACAAAAAUUUACUUAGAUAGCUACCGAUUAUUUUGUAGCUAUCACACACAAUCCGUAGCUAAAAUCAGCUUACGACAGAUAGCAACAAAUUAAU
rnacentral:lncRNA from 1 species